UUUUUGCACACGGGCUAGGAUAAAGGCGUGUCAUAGCCGUGUGAAGAACAUGGGCCAAGGACACGGACGUGUGCCAGGCUGUGUGAAAACCCCUGUAGGUGUGCAUUUAAAAUUAUUUCCACAUGGGUGGAGGACACGGGCGUGUCCCUUUAUUGCCUAGGCUGUGUGAGCCACACAGGCCAACAGCACGACCAUGUCGAAUUGGUCACAUGGGCGUGUUGCCUCUCCCACACGGG
rnacentral:lncRNA from 1 species